CUAGUAAUCGCGGAUCAGCAUGCCGCGGUGAAUACGUUCCCGGGUCUUGUACACACCGCCCGUCACACCACGAGAGGUUGCAACACCCGAAGUCGGUGAGGUAACCCUUACGGGAGCCAGCCGCCGAAGGUGGGGCAAAUGAUUGGGGUGAAGUCGUAACAAGGUAGCCGUAUCGGAAGGUGCGGCUGGAUCACCUCCUUUCUAAGGA
rnacentral:rRNA from 1 species